ACGAACGCUGGCGGCAUGCCUAAUACAUGCAAGUCGAACGAGCUUCCGUUGAAUGACGUGCUUGCACUGAUUUCAACAAUGAAGCGAGUGGCGAACUGGUGAGUAACACGUGGGUAACUUGCCCAGAAGCAGGGGAUAACACUUGGAAACAGGUGCUAAUACCGUAUAACAACAGAAACCGCAUGGUUUCUGUUUGAAAGGUGGUUUCGGCUAUCACUUCUGGAUGGACCCGCGGCGUAUUAGUUAGUUGGUGAGGUAAAGGCCCACCAAGACAAUGAUACGUAGCCGACCUGAGAGGGUAAUCGGCCACAUUGGA
rnacentral:rRNA from 1 species